rnacentral:rRNA from 1 species
UACGAAGGGGGCUAGCGUUGUUCGGAAUGACUGGGCGUAAAGGGCGCGUAGGCGGCGAUGUAAGUCAGGCGUGAAAGCCCCGGGCUCAACCUGGGAACGGCGCUUGAUACUGCGUUGCUUGAGGACGGGAGAGGAUGGUGGAAUUCCCAGUGUAGAGGUGAAAUUCGUAGAUAUUGGGAAGAACACCGGUGGCGAAGGCGGCCAUCUGGACCGUUUCGUGACGCUGAGGCGCGAAAGCGUGGGGAGCAAACAGG